AUUGGCAUGUGAUGAUACAAUGAUAUGCAAUUACAGAUUAAUUGUGAUGAUACAACUCCGCUUAUUAUCUGAUGCCAAU